rnacentral:rRNA from 1 species
AUUGAACGCUGGCGGCAGGCCUAACACAUGCAAGUCGGGCGAGCGGCGUACGGGUGAGUAAUGCCUGGGUAUUGCCCAGUCGAGGGGGAUAACAGUUGUAAACGACUGCUAAUACCACAUACGAUUGGCAUGCCCAGGUGGGAUUAGCUAGUUGGUUAGGUAAUGGCUCACUAAGGCGACUAUCCCUACCUGGUCUGAGAGGUUGACCGCCAACACUGGAACUGUGACACGGUCCAGACUCCUACGGGAGGCAGCAGUGGGGAAUAUUGCAAAAUGGGGGAAACCCGGAUGCGGCAAUGCCGCGUGGGUGAAGAGGGCCUUCGGGUUGUAAAGCAUUUUCUGAGAGGAGGCGUUACUCGCCGAAGAAGCAACGGCUAACUCCGUGCCAGCAGCCGCGGUAAUAC